UACGAAGGGGGCUAGCGUUGCUCGGAAUCACUGGGCGUAAAGCGCACGUAGGCGGACUCUUAAGUCAGGGGUGAAAUCCUGGAGCUCAACUCCAGAACUGCCUUUGAUACUGGGAGUCUUGAGUCCGGAAGAGGUAAGUGGAACUCCUAGUGUAGAGGUGGAAUUCGUAGAUAUUAGGAAGAACACCAGUGGCGAAGGCGGCUCACUGGUCCGGUACUGACGCUGAGGUGCGAAAGCGUGGGGAGCAAACAGG
rnacentral:rRNA from 1 species